UACAGAGGUCUCAAGCGUUGUUCGGAUUCAUUGGGCGUAAAGGGUGCGUAGGCGGCGCCGUAAGUCUGGUGUGAAAUCCCGGAGCUCAACUCCGGAAUUGCACUGGAUACUGCGGUGCUCGAGGACUGGAGAGGAGACUGGAAUUCACGGUGUAGCAGUGAAAUGCGUAGAUAUCGUGAGGAAGACCAGUGGCGAAGGCGGGUCUCUGGACAGUUCCUGACGCUGAGGCACGAAGGCCAGGGGAGCAAACGGG
rnacentral:rRNA from 1 species